GGCAGUGUAGCAUAAUGGUAAGGAGCAGGGCUCGUAACCGAAAGGUUGCUGGUUCGAUUCCAUGCUGGGGCA
rnacentral:tRNA from 1 species